rnacentral:pre_miRNA from 1 species
AGAUUACCAAUUCAAUGUUGAUAAUGUGGAAGACUAGGUUGGUGUCUGAAAUUGUAUCAUUGUAUCAACCUAGUCUUCCACAUUAUCAAUAUUACAAAAU